UGAAUACGAGACGCUAAGGCGUCGAAGUAGUGUAUGUCAUACUUCCAAGAAAAGCUUGCACUGUCAUAGAUAAAAAACGCCUGUACCAUAACCGACACAGGUGGGUAGGUAGAGUAUACUAAGGGGCGCGAGAUAACUCUCUCUAAGGAACUCGGCAAAAUAACUCCGUAACUUCGGGAGAAGGAGUGCCUUAUUCGUAAGGUUGCAAUAACAAGAUCCAAGCAACUGUUUAUCAAAAACACAGGUCUCCGCUAAGUCGUAAGACGAUGUAUGGGGGCUGACGCCUGCCCAGUGCCAGAAGGUUAAAGAAGUUGGUUAGCAAUUGCGAAGCUGAUAACUGAAGCCCUGGUGAACGGCGGCCGUAACGAUAACGGUCCUAAGGUAGCGAAAUUCCUUGUCGGGUAAGUUCCGACCCGCACGAAAGGCGUAAUGAUUUGGAUACUGUCUCGGAGAGGGGCUCGGUGAAAUAGACUUGUCUGUGAAGAUGCGGACUACCUGCACCAGGACAGAAAGACCCUAUGAAGCUUUACUGUAACUUGAAAUUGAAAUUGGACUUUAUUCGCGCAGUAUAGGUGGGAGGCGUUGAUUAUAAUCUUGUGGGAUUAUUGGAGCCAUCAGUGAGAUACCACUCUUGUAAUGUUAGAUUUCUAACUUUGAAUCAUUAUCUGGUCAAAGAACAGUUUCAGGCGGGCAGUUUGACUGGGGCGGUCGCCUCCUAAACGGUAACGGAGGCGUACAAAGGUUUCCUCUGAACGGUUAGAAAUCGUAUCUAGAGUGUAAAGGCAUAAGGAAGCUUGACUGUGAGACCUACAAGUCGAGCAGGGACGAAAGUCGGUCUUAGUGAUCUGACGGUACUGAGUGGAAAGGCCGUCACUCAACGGAUAAAAGUUACUCUAGGAUAACAGGCUGAUCUCCCCCAAGAGUUCACAUCGACGGGGAGGUUUGGCACCUCGAUGUCGGCUCAUCGCAUCCUGGGGCGGUAGUACGUCCCAAGGGUUGGGCUGUUCGCCCAUGAAAGCGGUACGCGAGCUGGGUUCAGAACGUCGUGAGACAGUUCGGUCCAUAUCCGGUGUAGGCGCUAGAAUAUUGAGGGGAGCCUUCUUUAGUACGAGAGGACCGAGAAGGACAUACCUCUGGUGUACCAGUUAUCGUGCCAACGGUAAACGCUGGGUAGCUAUGUAUGGAGUGGAUAACCGCUGAAAGCAUCUAAGUGGGAAGCCCACCUCAAGAUAAGUAUUC
rnacentral:rRNA from 1 species